UUUGUGGCAGCGCAUCUUCUUUGGGGAGCAGAAAUCUCUUCCCGUUAGCACCACUUCGAGACACCCGCGUUCGCCGCCGGAGUCCAAUCCAUCCCGCUCACCUUCCGGAGGGGGCCUCGCACCGGCCUGCCGCGGGAAAAGAAGAAUUGACACGCAGAAGUUUGUUGUGCAAUGUUUCUAUUUAUGACUGUGCCAAUGACUUUUGGAAACCCUGCAACUCCACUUUCUUCAAGAGGAAAAAUGGAAUCAUUUUGACUAGAGUAUCUUCUCCUUAGCUACAACUCUCAAAAUGGGAUCAUACCUCUUAACUACAGUACCUGAGAGAGACUCAUUCAUUAACGUGUGGACAUUAUUCAAGGGUCACAUUUUUUCAUUAAGACAUUCAUUGCUCAUUUCAUUUCAAAAUAUGAGGAAAUGUCUAAGUCACUUAUUCAUUAUAUUUUCUCAAGUGAUUGAAGAAAGCACCCAUUAAAAUUGAGCAAUAAUUGAAAUGCAUGCUAUGUGUCAACUAAUGUCUUAACAUAAACAUAGUUUAUGAACAUACAUCUAAAUGAACAAACAAAUGGACAAAGUUUCUGCAGUUACCGUGAAUGAUCAUUAAACUUCACUGUGUACUUCUGGGUGUCCAAAGGGGAAAGAUGAAUGCGGCAUAUUGUGAUGGUUAAUGAUGUCAGCUUGACAGGAUCCAGGCUCAUCGAGGAGACAAGCCUCUGGGCAAGCCUGUGGAAAACCAUUUCUGUUAGAUUACCUGAAAUUGGAAGAACUGUCCUAAAUGUGGCCAGCACCAUCACCAAGUGCAAUGACUAGCGUUUGUUGCCAACUGAUAAAUUCCAGAAUCACCAUGGGAGGUGGGUUCCUGGGUUUACCUUUGGGGAAUUGUUUCAGUUAUGUUAAUUGAACUGGAAAUAUCUAUGCAACUGGGAUUGCAGACAAUAUAAACGGAGAAAGGAACUGAGCAGCAACAUGAAUUAAUCUUUCUCUGCUUCUUGCUUGUGAAUACAAUGAGAUCUGCUGUUUCAAGCUUCUGCAACCUUGUCUGCUCUCUGAUGGUGGACCAAGCCUUCAAACAGUGAAACAGAGUAACAUUUUUCUCCUUUUUAUUGCCUUUGUCAGAGUAUUUUAUUGCAGCAACAGGAAAAUAAACUAGGGCAAUCCUUGGCUGUAUAUAGAGGAAAAGUGAGAUGGGCAUAAGCAUUCAUCACUUUUUCCUUCCUCACUAUGUAUACAAUAUGACUCACCACCUCUUGCUUCUGCUUUUGUACUUUCUCCAUUACACAUUAGGCUGUACCCUCAGCUGUGAGCCAAACUACACAUGUAUUUAAGUUGUUUAUUGCAAUUAUUGUUUUAGCACAGCAUCAAGACAGGUAUGUAAGACAAACAUUAUAUACAUUUUAUGUGCCUAAUUUAAUAAUUCAAGUUAAAUCAAUAUUAAAAUUCUUUAAUUAAUAUAUUAAAUAUUUAUUUGUCUCACACAUUUAUUUGUCUCACGAACACAUGAUAUGAAAUAUGAGGCAGGAAAUACUGGACUGACAUGGAGAAGAAAGUACAUGAAAGAUUUAUAUAGUUUAUUUUCAUUAAAAUGGAGCAAAGUUCUUUUAAUUGUCCAGACUUAUUGUUUUCACCUUUCAUCAAAUUCUUCAGCUGUUUGCAAUCAUUAAAAUUAUUACUUAUGAUCUGCUUUUUAAAAUAAGCAAUAAAAUUUAAUUAUUGUGACUCAAAUAAUGUAAGUAUUGUCAAAUGCAAUAGGAGAAGUAGCCUUGGAAAAUUUCCUCUUAGUCUCUCAGGAAUUGAUUGAAUCCAACAUUUAUUUUCCCACACAAAGCACUGGCUGGUCAAAGGCCUUCGUCUUUGUGUCUCCCCUUCCUCUGGUGUUAUUGUUUCUCUUCUUAGGCAUAGAAACAAAAAUGAAAAAAAAUCCACAUACCACAGUGAUCGGAAGUGGAAUCAUUUCUUCUUCAGAGAUAGUUGGCGUCUCCCUGUCCUGGAGUCUCAGAAAGUGUUUUUGCCUCGAACUACAGUACUCCAUACUCUAUCCCCCACUGAUCCACAGUCAGAUUAGAAACUUUUAUAGGACACUUGACACUUGAUAUGUUUUUUGCCAUUGGAAUAGCAAACAUAUCAAUUUGUACAUAAAGUACAAUAAGAACAGCUGGGCUGCCUAUCUGCCGGUAAUUGAUAGUGAAAGUCUGUUUCCAAGACACUGUCUAUUAAGAGUCAUUCCACAUCUCUGAGAACAUGCUUUCUUCUGAGUGAUGGGUAUUUUGAACAAUAAUAAUCUAAAGACUUUGACUAUCUUGAUCAAGAGGUUUUGGGAAAAUAUCCAGUAAGAAGCAGAUCAAGCUUGACAAUAGAGCUAAGAGUAUUAAUAGAGAUUAAUGAGAAUUAAAAGGAAGUAAUUUGGAAUGGUAACUUAAUCAAUGUACUUCUGUCAGUUCACAUUUGAAAGGCCACUCCUGUGUUUAAGCCGUUAACAUUUCAUGAAAACAGUUAAAGUAACUAUACUGAGCUUUACAACUGAGCAAUGCAAUGAUUAAUUUUCAAAGACCCAAGGUGUGUUGCUAAACUUAGUUGAAAAUUCACUGUAAAUGACAAUAUUCCACACAUUCAGAAUUCAGUGUUAAUACAAGUACAUUUAAAUUCACUCAGUCUGUAGGGUGGAGGGCUCCCAAACACAAAUGUACAUCUGUACUUGUUUACCUAGUAUUGUGUGACAAAAAUUUUUCUGGGGAGAUACAACAUACACAUCUACUCACCCCAAAUGGUGAGCUCAUGACAGACUAAAAUACGGAUACCACUGUGGUGAUAUAUUAUUUCUGCUUUAUUAAAACUUGCCUGAGGAUACAGAAAGCAAAACUAGCCACAAGCUAUAUAGGUCAAGCAUUGGUGAUGCACACAUUUAAUCCCAGCAGUCACACUAGUGAGCCAUAGAAACUAGGCACUGAUGGCUAACACCUUUAAUCCAAGGACUCAGGGUUAAGGUGUAUAUAGAUCUCUGUUAGUUCAAGGCCACAUUGACUACAUGAAUUUUAUCCAGUUCUAAAAGAAACAACUCACACAAAGGUCAUCUCACCACCUGGAAUCACAAGUCUUUAAUCCCAGUACUAGGGAGGUGGAGACAGGAAUGAUGUGGCUGGGUAGAGAAAAAAUAAAAGGCAGGAGGAGACAAGAACUGAAAGCUUUUGCCUCAGAGGAUUCGUGGAGACAGGGUUGCCAUUUUGACUUGGUAAAGAUGAUAAGAUCUACUGGCUUGGCUGCUUUAAUUAUAUGAUCUUCAGCUUGAAGCUUGAACCCAAUAUCUGUCUCUGGAUCUUAUUUUUUAUAUUACAUACCACUAAAAUCCACCUUGGUGAACCAUGAGUUUUAUUGGGGUUACAUACAAGAGUAUGGUUUAGAGGUGUCUUGCAGGAGCAGAAAGAUCUCAAGAUAGAUGCGUCUGCAGAACUCUCCUCAGAAAGCAUGACCUAAAAGCUGGGAGCCUGAAGCACUCAUCAUAGUAAGUAGGUAGCUUAACAGGUUGGACAGUUGCCCAUUCCAGUGACUCAGUUGGUGUAAUCCUCUUCCAUUUAGAUCUGCCUGUACCUGCUUCUCCCAGGCAACUGCUGGUCUGGUCUCAGAAUCUUCAUAGCAGCUUGGCUUGUCAGAGAAGGAAUUUUCUUUGCAGCUCAGUUUCUCUGAAAGGCAGCCUCAACUCUUGUUGUUUAUUCCAUCAAGAAGGAGACUAGUGAAUUGGGUCAGUUUUAGGGUCUUCCUGAUGCUAUUCUGAGUUAUUUACCUCACAGUUGAAGAGUUUGCUUGUAGGAUGGGCUGUUUCAUUCUCAUAGGAAAUUGUCACAUGCCAACCAGUGUUUAUUUAUGACAACAAAGAGUUAUUAAAGACUUGGUUAUGCUAUUUUAAAGUUCUGUUAAGUAUUUUAUAGACAUAGAAUACAUCUUGAAUUAAUGACAUGUUUCAUGUUGUGAAGUGCAUUUUAUUUUACAGACAGUAAUAAUCUACUUCAUGCUGCAAUGUUAGUUAUAUUUAAUAUAAUGAGGUUCAGUAAAUAUACUUUAUUUAUCAUCCCAAUAAUUUGUAUUUUAUUGAUAUUGAAACCAUUCAAAUACCUCUUUUCUAAGGAUUUUGAUUUAGUGCUGGCCAUGUUGUUUUUAUGUUAGAAUUCUCAGUUGGUUCUCCAUUAACAAAUAAAGGCACAAGUCCUCUCACUCCUCUUCCUAGCUUCUACUAGUCACCACUUUGCUAACUGAACACAGUCUUUUUAUAGGCAAUUAUUUCAGAACUUCUCUUAGUAUGGCUUCAUUUCAUUUGCUAUGACUUCCACACUCAUUUGUAUUGCUACAAAUGACAUAAUUUCGCUUUUUAUAGUGAAUAUUAUGUACUCUAUUCUGCCUAAGUGCUGCAUUCCAUUUAUCUACUCAUUUACUGAUAAAUACUUUGUCUAAUACUAUACUUUGGUGAUUAAGAUGCAAUAAAGAAAGUUUUAGGGAUCUCUUUGUUUCAUAUCAUUUCUUUCUUUCUUUUUAAAAUUCAUCUGUUUAUUUUACGUCCCUGAUGUAGUCUCCCCUAGAUACUCCCCUUGAAGAUAUACUCAGUGGUGGGAUUUUUUGAAUCAUAUAGUUUCAUUAUUUGAAAAACUUUCACAAUUGCUUUCCACAUUUGAAUGUUAAUUUAACCUGUAUAUAAGAUGCCUCCUCUCCAGUCCUGUCAGUUUUUGAGAAAUUUUCAUAUUGUUUCCACAGUUGAGUGCUAAUUUAACUUGUGUAUUAGAUGUUUGGCCUCUAGCCCUCUCUAGCAAUUGUCAAUGUUUUGAUUAUAGGUAUUCUUAUUGGCUUGAGGUUAUAUAAAAUGUGAUCUCUACUUUCAUUUCCCUAUUUUCAUGUGAUUGGCUAUUUUUGUCUCUUCUUUUGGUAAAGGUCUACUCAGAUAAUUUGUACAUUUAUU